UGGGGAAUAUUGGACAAUGGGCGCAAGCCUGAUCCAGCCAUGCCGCGUGAGUGAUGAAGGCCCUAGGGUUGUAAAGCUCUUUCACCGGCGAAGAUAAUGACGGUAACCGGAGAAGAAGCCCCGGCUAACUUCGUGCCAGCAGCCGCGGUAAUACGAAGGGGGCUAGCGUUGUUCGGAUUUACUGGGCGUAAAGCGCACGUAGGCGGACUUUUAAGUCAGGGGUGAAAUCCCGGGGCUCAACCCCGGAACUGCCUUUGAUACUGGAAGUCUUGAGUAUGGUAGAGGUGGGUGGAAUUCCGAGUGUAGAGGUGAAAUUCGUAGAUAUUCGGAGGAACACCAGUGGCGAAGGCGGCUCACUGGACCAUUACUGACGCUGAGGUGCGAAAGCGUGGGGAGCAAACAGG
rnacentral:rRNA from 1 species